CUGCGUUACCUUAGAUCAGGAUCUACAAAAGGAGCAGGUUUGGGCAUAUUUGAAGACUGAUACGAAAACAGGAGCUGGGAAUAUAAUGAUGAACCAAA